GACGAACGCUGGCGGCGUGCUUAACACAUGCAAGUCGAACGGAAGGACCCGAAUCUUGCGGGUCUCUUGUUUGCGGCAGGGGGGGGAAACACACGUGUAUCCCCUCCUUAUCUUUGGGGGAUCUCUAGGAAACUGCGGCUAUAACCGCAUAGAAUAUCUUGCUCCACGUGGGGGAUUGGAAAGUUACGGCGGUUGGGGCUGGUCUCGAGGCUUCCCCGCUUGUUGGGGGGGUUGGUGCUGACAAAGGUUUCGACGGGUAGCCGGCCUGGGAGGGUGACGGGCCACAGUGGGCCUGAGGUACGGCCAGACUCCUACGGGAGGCAGCGGUGGGGAAUAUUGCAGAAUGGGCGGGAGCCUGAUGCGGCGACGCCGCGUGCGGGAUGACGGCCUUCGGGUUGUGAACCGCUUUCGCCUGUGACGAAGUGUGAGUGACGGUAAUGGGUAAAGAAGCACCGGCUAACUACGUG
rnacentral:rRNA from 1 species